rnacentral:rRNA from 1 species
UACGUAGGGGGCGAGCGUUGUCCGGAGUUACUGGGCGUAAAGCGCACGCAGGCGGUCUGUUAAGUUUGGAGUGACAGUUGGUGGCUUAACUGCCAAAGUGCUUCGAAAACUGAACAGACUUGAGGGCUUACAGAGGGACACGGAAUUCCGGGUGGAGUGGUGAAAUGCGUAGAGAUCCGGAGGAACACCAAAGGCGAAGGCAGUGUCCUGGGGAGUACCUGACGCUCAGGUGCGAAAGCCAGGGGAGCGAACGGG